GAGGGUAUAGCUCAACUGGUAGAGCACAUGCUUAGCAUGCACAAGGUCCUGGGUUCAAUCCCCAGUACCUCCU
rnacentral:tRNA from 1 species